AAUCCAACAAGGGUUUCACUGAAUGGGUCGAUGAUUACCAGCGACUUUAGUGUCAUCAUCUUUGGACACAUUUCCUUUAAUGACAUGUUUGCCUGCCUGCAACUUCAUGCCAGCACUAACAUCCAGCCUCAUUUGGAAAUUGACUUCCAGCAUUCCUUGCCUCAGCUUCAAUCUCUGGGUAUUUCCAAAGAGAAUCAAAUGAAAGUGUCAGCUAUCAGAAGUGACAAAUAUAAGGGGAUGCUUGAUGUCAUCUUCGGGCCUUGCAGUUUCAAAGCUGAUGGAGAAGUGAGCCUGAAUGCAAUGACACAGAAAUAGAAUUACUUACUUUUACAAACAAGUGUGUCAGCCUAGAGAGAAUGGGACUGCCACAUGCUGUAGCCUUUGGGGGCUCAUUUCAAAAGAACACCUGCAAUAUUGACUUGUUGAUGAACCUCCAGUAUGAUGGCAAAACAGUUGAUGUGCAGAUGGAUACUUCCUGCAAAAACAAAUAUGCCUUCCAAGGGAUGCUCAGGCUUUCAGUUCCCUGGACGAGUCAACUUGGGCUGCCUUUUGAAAACUCUGUCCUGUUCUCUGCUUCCACAGAGUCCACCACUGGGGGCAUUUUGUUGCUGCAGGCUGGCAAAUGCAAACUUAAGGCUAGAGGAGAUCUCUGUAUACAGAAUAAAGCUGAAUGGACACUGGAAACAGAAUGUCAGCUUCUGCAGGAUCUUGGAGCACCAGUAAAAAUUGAUGGUUCGGGCUAUAUUUUAAUGGAUAAAAUGAACCUAGAUUCACAGACCUUCAUCAUUGUUGAUGAAAGUAAAUUACAAGUACUCCUUAUACUAAACAUCACUGAUGUAAGUGUCCUGAAGACUAUUAGAUUGUAUGUGCAAAGUACUGGAUGACAUACUCUAAACUAUUUUAUUGGGAACAAAUAGACAAGCUUUAGUAACAAAU
rnacentral:lncRNA from 1 species